UUUUUACUUAUUUUGUUAAACAUUUCACAAUUACAUUUUGGUUUGGUUCCACUGCACUUGGGAAUUGUCCAAUUGUUCCCUGCCUUCCCCCACCUCCCUUACACCAAUAUUGAUACUCCAUGGUUAAGAAAAUGGGUCAGUCAAGUAUAUUGACACUUCACAAUGCAUCUUCUCCUCCUCUUUAACUAGUGGUAGAAGUGAUUAUGCAGACUCUAGUCAGUUGUGCUGGGAAGGAGCACCUUCUGGUUAGAAGAUCAGCAUUCCCUGGAAAAGUUGAAUAGUCCUGCCAUCAGCAUCUGCCAGCAAACAGACUUUUCCCUUUGGAACUCUGGUACACCAGCUGCAACAGCAAGACAACCACCAACAUUUGGUUUAGAAUUGAACAGGGAUCUCAGAGGUUAACUUGUCAAAUUCAUAUCGAAGGACAGAAUCCCCUUUACUACAACCCCUGAAAAGAGGUAAUUUAAUUUUUCCUUAUAGACUUUUAUGUAUCUAUAUGUAAUAAAGUAAUACAGAUCUCAAACUCUCCCA
rnacentral:lncRNA from 1 species